rnacentral:rRNA from 1 species
GUAGCUAAUACCGCAUAACGUCGCAAGACCAAAGAGGGGGACCUUCGGGCCUCUUGCCAUCGGAUGUGCCCAGAUGGGAUUAGCUAGUAGGUGGGGUAACGGCUCACCUAGGCGACGAUCCCUAGCUGGUCUGAGAGGAUGACCAGCCACACUGGAACUGAGACACGGUCCAGACUCCUACGGGAGGCAGCAGUGGGGAAUAUUGCACAAUGGGCGCAAGCCUGAUGCAGCCAUGCCGCGUGUAUGAAGAAGGCCUUCGGGUUGUAAAGUACUUUCAGCGGGGAGGAAGGGAGUAAAGUUAAUACCUUUGCUCAUUGACGUUACCCGCAGAAGAAGCACCGGCUAACUCCGUGCCAGCAGCCGCGGUAAUACGGAGGGUGCAAGCGUUAAUCGGAAUUACUGGGCGUAAAGCGCACGCAGGCG